UCCGGCCACCUCAGCGGGAAGCGGAGACGCAAGCAGCUGGAUCUCCGGUAACUGAGACAUAGGGUAUAACUGUUGUCGCGGCGGAGGAAGUGAGGACGGCGCCAAGGGCCUUCCGGGCCAGUGUUGGAUCCCUGUAGUUUGUGAAGAUGGUGUUGCUAACAAUGAUCGCCCGAGUGGCGGACGGGCUCCCGCUGGCCGCCUCGAUGCAGGAGGACGAACAGUCUGGCCGGGACCUUCAACAGUAUCAGAGUCAGGCUAAGUAACUCUUUCGAAAGUUGAAUGAACAGUCCCCUACCAGAUGUACCUUGGAAGGAGGAGCCAUGACUU
rnacentral:lncRNA from 1 species